UCCGAGUUGACCCCGGCAGUCUCCGACGAGUCCCCGGCAUAACCCGCUGGUAACAUCGGACAAGGGUUGCGCUCGUUGCGGGACUUAACCCAACAUCUCACGACACGAGCUGACGACAGCCAUGCACCACCUGUUUAGGACCCCGAAGGACACCGUAUCUCUACGGCUUUUCCCUAAAUGUCAAGCCCAGGUAAGGUUCUUCGCGUUGCCUCGAAUUAAGCCACAUGCUCCGCCGCUUGUGCGGGCCCCCGUCAAUUCCUUUGAGUUUCAAUCUUGCGAUCGUACUUCCCAGGUGGGAUACUUAAUGCUUUCGCUCAGACACACACAGUGUAUCGCGUAUGUCGAGUAUCCAUCGUUUAGGGCGUGGACUAC
rnacentral:misc_RNA from 1 species